GCGGGUGUAGCUUAGUGGUAAAGCCCUAGCCUUCCAAGCUAGUUAUGGGGGUUCGAUUCCCCCCACCCGCU
rnacentral:tRNA from 1 species